UACGGGGGGUGCGAGCGUUAUUCGGAAUUAUUGGGCGUAAAGGGCGCGCAGGCGGUUGAAUAAGUCAGGUGUGAAAGCCCUUGGCUUAACCAAGGAAGUGCAUUUGAUACUAUUUGACUUGAGUAUGGGAGAGGGAAGUGGAAUUCCUGGUGUAGAGGUGAAAUUCGUAGAUAUCAGGAGGAACACCGGUGGCGAAAGCGGCUUCCAGGAUCAAUAAUGACGAUGAGGCGCGAAGGCGUGGGGAGCAAACAGG
rnacentral:rRNA from 1 species